GAUGAACGCUGGCGGCGUGCCUAACACAUGCAAGUCGAGCGAUUCUCUUCGGAGAAGAGCGGCGGACGGGUGAGUAACGCGUGGGUAACCUGCCCUGUACACACGGAUAACAUACCGAAAGGUAUGCUAAUACGAGAUAAUAUGCUUUUGUCGCAUGGUAGAAGUAUCAGAGUUUUUGCGGUACAGGAUGGACCCGCGUCUGAUUAGCUAGUUGGUAAGGUAACGGCUUACCAAGGCGACGAUCAGUAGCCGACCUGAGAGGGUGAUCGGCCACAUUGGAACUGAGACACGGUCCGAACUCCUACGGGAGGCAGCAGUGGGGAAUGUUGCACAAUGGGCGAAAGCCUGAUGCAGCAACGCCGCGUGAGCGAUGAAGGCCUUCGGGUCGUAAAGCUCUGUCCUCAAGGAAGAUAAUGACGGUACUUGAGGAGGAAGCCCCGGCUAACUACGUGCCAGCCGCCGCCGUAACAC
rnacentral:rRNA from 1 species